rnacentral:rRNA from 1 species
GACGAACGCUGGCGGCGUGCCUAAUACAUGCAAGUUGAGCGCUGAAGGUUGGUACUUGUACCGACUGGAUGAGCAGUGAACGGGUGAGUAACGCGUGGGGAAUCUGCCUUUGAGCGGGGGACAACAUUUGGAAACGAAUGCUAAUACCGCAUAAAAACUUUAAACACAAGUUUUAAGUUUGAAAGAUGCAAUUGCAUCACUCAAAGAUGAUCCCGCGUUGUAUUAGCUAGUUGGUGAGGUAAAGGCUCACCAAGGCGAUGAUACAUAGCCGACCUGAGAGGGUGAUCGGCCACAUUGGGACUGAGACACGGCCCAAACUCCUACGGGAGGCAGCAGUAGGGAAUCUUCGGCAAUGGACGAAAGUCUGACCGAGCAACGCCGCGUGAGUGAAGAAGGUUUUCGGAUCGUAAAACUCUGUUGGUAGAGAAGAACGUUGGUGAGAGUGGAAAGCUCAUCAAGUGACGGUAACUACCCAGAAAGGGACGGCUAACUACGUG